rnacentral:tRNA from 1 species
GCUGUGGCUCAGUGGUAGAGCACUCGCUUGGCAUGCAGAAGGUCCCAGGUUCAAUCCCUGGCAUAUCCA